rnacentral:rRNA from 1 species
UCCUACGGCCAUACCACCCUGAGCGCGCCCGAUCUCGUCUGAUCUCGGAAGCUAAGCAGGGUCGGGCCUGGUUAGUACUUGGAUGGGAGACCGCCUGGGAAUACCAGGUGCUGUAAGCU